GACAGAGGCCUCGAGCGUUAGGCGGAAUCACUGGGCUUAAAGCGUGUGUAGGCGGGCCCGUAAGUGUCUUGUGAAAUCCCACGGCUCAACCGUGGAACUGCUGGGCAUACUGCGGGUCUUGGGCCAACUAGGGGGCAGCCGGAACAAGCGGUGGAGCGGUGAAAUGCGUAGAUAUCGCUUGGAACGCCGAAGGUGAAAACAGGCUGCUGGGGUUGCGCCGACGCUGAGACACGAAAGCCAGGGGAGCAAACGGG
rnacentral:rRNA from 1 species